rnacentral:tRNA from 1 species
UAGAAGGUGGUGUAAUGGAAGCACUAGAAGUUUUGAUCUUCUAAGGUGAGGUUCAAGUCCUCUCUUUCUAA